UUCCAAAUUCCUUCUCAAAUCCGUGAACCAAACACAAGAUAUGAAAAGAUAAAUGUUAUUCCACAUCUAUGUAAAUGCGUGUGUAAAUUGUUAGGUGAAAAAUUAGAUAACUCUAACAUUAUUCAUGAAAAAGAGAAAUUCUCAAACAAUGGCUUGGCAUCUCACAAAUAAAUUUGAGUCAUUCUUUCCAUACCAUUGCCUAUUGUGACAGUAAAUAUCAUUAUCUUGCGACGGUUCUCCUGCCUCUUAUCUCUCUCUCUCUCUCUCUCUCUCUCUGUGCUUGAUCUCUACGCCGUCUCAGAGCUUUAAGCAGUUCGAUUUCGUCUAAAGGUUCGAUCAAUUUCAAUCUCUCUUUUCUCUAUUUCAAUCUGUGUGUUGUUUGUAUUGGUUUAGCUUUAAUUAACCUUCUUUCAAAUUUGCAGGUUGGACUUGUUGUGUAUGAUUCACAAGUUCCGAUUGGUGCCACUCCUGAAUAUAUGGCUGGUUAUUACAUGUUGCAAAGUGCAAGCUUUUUUUUUCCUGUGAUGGCCCUUGCUCCUCAAGAGAAGGAAAGGAUUGUUGAUAUGGCGGCUGCUCCUGGUGGUAAAACAACCUACGUUGCUGCUCUUAUGAAAAACAGUGGUAUAAUUUAUGCAAAUGAGAUAAAGGAGUCAAGACCCAAGUCGCUUACUGCAAAUUUACAUCGUAUGGGGGUGACAAACACUAUAGUUUGCAACUAUGAUGGGAGAGAGAAUGCAUAGAAUGAAGCAUUUCACUCUGGAAGGCAUACAGAAGCAGUGGAGCAUUAUAUUGCCAUGGUAUCAAGCAAUAUCAAAUCAUGUCUUUUGCGGCCAUUUGUUUUUGCAACCGUGCUGCUGCACACCAAUCUCUGGGCCAAAUUGCUGAUGCUAUUGCCGACUGUAGUCUAGCCAUAGUUCUUGAUGGAAGUUACUCAAAGUGGAAGCUCUUGGUGAAAUAGUUGAACAACAGGGUAAAAAAGGCUGGAAUUUCAAUUUGAAACAUUAUGACAAAAACUUGAACUGGCAAACACCAAUAGUGGACUCCUCCCUUAUGUAUGACUG